rnacentral:rRNA from 1 species
ACUCAAAUGAAUUGACGGGGACCCGCACAAGCGGUGGAGCAUGUGGUUUAAUUCGACGGUAAGCGAGGAACCUUACCAAGGCUUGACAUGUAGCUGCAUCUCCUAGAGAUAGGAGCGCCUUCGAGGGUGCUACACAGGUGCUGCACGGUUGUCGUCAGCUCGUGCCGUGAGGUGUUCACUUAAGUGUGAAAACGAGCGCAACCCCUAUCAUGUGUUACAAGUGUCACAUGAGACUGCCGGCGUUUAAGCCGGAGGAAGGCGGGGAUGACGUCAAAUCAGCGUGGCUCUUACGCCUUGGGCGACACACGUGCUACAAUGGAUAAGUACAGUGGGACGCCAAAGAGCAAUCUGGAGCAAAUCCUAAAAAAUUAUCCUCAGUUCGGAUUGAGGGCUGCAACUCGCCCUCAUGAAGCUGGAAUCGCUAGUAACCGUAGAUCAGCCUCGCUACGGUGAAUACGUUCUCGGGUUUUGUACACACCGCCCGU